rnacentral:rRNA from 1 species
UACGUAGGUGGCAAGCGUUGUCCGGAUUUACUGGGCGUAAAGAGCGCGCAGGCGGUCGUACAAGUCGCGUGUGAAAGCCCCCGGCUCAACUGGGGAGGGUCACGCGAUACUGUUCGACUCGAAGGCAGGAGAGGGAAGUGGAAUUCCCAGUGUAGAGGUGAAAAUUCGUAGAUAUUGGGAAGAACACCGGUGGCGAAGGCGGCUCACUGGCUCGACACUGACGCUGAGGUGCGAAAGCGUGGGGAGCAAACAGG